GAACUGUGCGAACGUUAUUCGGAAUCACUGGGCUUAAAGGGUGCGUAGGCGGUUCGCGAAGUCAGGUGUGAAAUCCCCCGGCUCAACCGGGGAACAGCGCUUGAAACUGGCGGGCUGGAGCGAGGUAGGGGUACGCGGAACUUCUGGUGGAGCGGUGAAAUGUGUAGAUAUCAGAAGGAACGCCGGUGGCGAAAGCGGCGUACUGGGCCUUGUCUGACGCUGAGGCACGAAAGCUAGGGGAGUGAACGGGAUUAGAUACCCCGGUAAUCCUAGCCGUAAACACUGAGCACUGGGAGGGGGGCGGCUUCGGCCCUCCCCCUCAUAGCGAAAGCGUUAAGUGCUCCGCCUGGGGAGUAUGGUCGCAAGGCUG
rnacentral:rRNA from 1 species